rnacentral:rRNA from 1 species
UACGUAGGGUCCGAGCGUUGUCCGGAAUUAUUGGGCGUAAAGGGCUCGUAGGCGGUCUGUUGCGUCGGGAGUGAAAACUUACAGCUUAACUGUGAGCGUGCUUCCGAUACGGGCAGACUUGAGGUAUUCAGGGGAGAACGGAAUUCCUGGUGUAGCGGUGAAAUGCGCAGAUAUCGAGAGGAACACCUGCGGCGAAGGCGGGUUGCUGGGCUGACACUGACGCUGAUGCGCGAAAGCGUGGGGAGCAAACAGG